CGUGGGUAACCUACCCAUCAGAGGGGGAUAACACUUGGAAACAGGUGCUAAUACCGCAUAACAGUUUAUGCCGCAUGGCAUAAGAGUGAAAGGCGCUUUCGGGUGUCGCUGAUGGAUGGACCCGCGGUGCAUUAGCUAGUUGGUGAGGUAAAGGCUCACCAAGGCCACGAUGCAUAGCCGACCUGAGAGGGUGAUCGGCCACACUGGGACUGAGACACGGCCCAG
rnacentral:rRNA from 1 species